GGAGAGGUCGCCUAGUCCGGUUUAUGGCGCGCGCUUGGAAAGCGCGUAGGCUGAAAGGCCUCGAGAGUUCAAAUCUCUCCCUCUCCGCCA
rnacentral:tRNA from 1 species